UCUUUUCCGUUUUGGUGUUUUCCAGAUGUAUUGAAUUGGGACAUCCAGACUGACCAGAGUUUAUAGAAAUUAUCAAAUACGGUACAUCUUAAGAGCCCCAGACUGGAGAAGGAUUACUUGAUUGCCCCGAGCAGUUUCUCCUUGUUGACUGAUCCUGGCUUGUUAAUUGGUUUGCUGAGGUCCUCUAGGAGAUGAAACAGUAGAAAAGAUGCCUAGAGAAUCAGUGGAAAAAGAUGAAAAAUGAAUCUUACCGAGCACAGAACUCUCCAUCAGUCUUCUUGCAGUGAUAGUAAUUGUAUGCGGACUUGCUCUAGUGGCAGUUUUUCUAUUCCUUUUUUGGAAGCUGUGUUGGGUUCCUUGGAGGAACAAAUCUAUUUCAACUAACACCCCCACCACUCAGAAUUUGGCAGAGCACGACAAAGACAAUAUGGCUGACAAGCUAAAAGAUACUGGGACUCUUGGAUUCUUGGAAGCAGCAGUAAAAAUCAGUCACACUUCACCAGAUAUCCCAGCAGAAGUUCAAAUGUCCAUGAAAGAUCAUCUCAUGCGACGCACACGAAUGCAGAGACAAACAACAGAACCUGCGUCUUCCACCAGGCACAUUUCUUUCAAGAGGCACCUGCCCAGACAGAUGCAUGUUUCCAGUGUGGACUAUGGCACAGAAUUCCCACUUGCAGCAGAGCAGCCCACUUGCAUUGGCCGGAUCAAGCCUGAGCUGUACAAACAGAAAUCUGUGGAUUCUGAGGACCCAAAGAAAGAAGCUGAAAAAACCUGUGGGAAAAUAAAUUUUUCUUUGAAAUAUGACUAUGAAAACGAGACUUUGAUUGUGCGGAUCCUCAAGGCUUUUGACUUGCCUGCUAAGGACCUCUGUGGCAGUUCUGAUCCCUAUGUUAAGAUCUACCUCUUGCCUGACCGAAAACGCAAAUUCCAAACACGAGUGCACAGGAAAACUCUCAAUCCCACCUUUGAUGAAUGCUUUCAGUUUCCUGUGCCCUAUGAAGAGCUGACCAACAGAAAGCUCCAUCUUAGUGUCUUUGACUUCGACAGGUUUUCCCGGCAUGACAUGAUUGGGGAGGUGAUCCUAGAGAACCUCUUUGAAGCCUCGGAUCUCUCUCGGGAGACCUCCAUCUGGAAGGAUAUUCAGUAUGCUACAACUGAAAGUGUGGACCUGGGAGAGAUCAUGUUUUCCCUUUGUUACCUGCCAACUGCAGGUCGCCUCACUCUAACAGUCAUUAAAUGCAGGAAUCUCAAAGCAAUGGAUAUAACUGGAUACUCUGAUCCGUACGUCAAAGUAUCUUUGCUCUGUGAUGGAAGGAGACUGAAAAAGAAGAAAACCACUAUAAAAAGAAAUACACUUAAUCCUACCUAUAAUGAGGCAAUAAUUUUUGAUAUCCCUCCUGAGAACAUGGAUCAAGUCAGUCUGCUUAUAUCAGUUAUGGAUUAUGACCGGGUUGGCCACAAUGAGAUUAUUGGGGUUUGUCGUGUGGCAAACAAUGCUGAGGGACUAGGCCGAGACCAUUGGAAUGAAAUGUUGGCUUAUCCACGUAAACCAAUUGCACACUGGCAUCCACUCGUAGAAGUGAAGAAAUCCUUUAAGGAGCAAUGUCCAGUAACUGGGUUGAAUGCUCCCAAGGCAGAGAUGCCUGUAGCAGAACCGUCCCAUUCCCUUCCUACUAUGAUGCUGCCUUCCUCCAAAUAUUCCAAGUGGCAUGGCCGUGCAGCCAGCUUUGAUAGUCAAGGUUCCUGCCCCUCUCCCAAACCACCUUCAACACCUUGAUCCAUCAAGUGGUGAAUAUUGGGCCUCAACCAAAUUAUUUUUCUUUUGCUCUGAUAUCUUCUCCAUGGGUCUUGAAUUCUAAUUCAACUUAUUGCUGAGUAACAGAAGAAUGGGGAUCAGACAUUCCUUGUUUCCACAGUGAAAAAAGGCACCAAGGCCUUUUACAGUGGUGUUUGUCUUAGUUAUUUUUAUCUAUCAAGGCGGUGUACUUUGUGUUUUUUCACUUUUUGGAUAUGGCUGCUAAAAAGAAGAAAAGAAAAGAAAAGAAAAAAGAAAAGAAAAAAAAGAAAAGAAAAGAAAAGGCAUAGGCUGGAACACUGGCCUAUAAAAUAAUAUGUAAAAUAGUUAUUUGUGUGUGUGUGUAAAGGAACAAAUAAUAGAGAGCUGUUGUACUUCUGCACAUCAGCAUGCAUAUUUAAAAGAGACAGAAGAAUGAAAAAUGAGAAGGCCUUGAUUAGGCUCCUUGUGACAUGUGAACACCCUUUUGUUAUUGUGAUCAGUGAGACGGUACAGCUUUUCUUAUCCAUGCUGUGAUGUUCAUGGAAUCUGUGAAAUACAGCCCAGCCUGUCCUUCUGUAUAUUUUAAAGAAUUGCUAAUUCCUCAGGGAGAAAUGAUCCAUUUUUUUGUAGUUGUGUUCUUGAAAGAGCCUUUUGCAUGAAUUCAGCUGCUUAAGGUCCUGUGAACUCCUGUGGCAGUUCUGCACUGAUUACAGAAAUGAACUUUGUCUCAGGAGACAACUAAAAGAACAUCUUUCAGUUCCUUAUGGAGGUUCUCAGUGUGACAGGAAUUGGCUGAUUUGAUCUUUGCUCAGAAACUACGUGAGCUUGGUCCUUAUUAGCAUUUGGUUGGGAGACUGCCACAGGAUAUCAGGGCUGCACAUAUCUGAAUGAAACAACAUUAAACUAUUUUCAGAUUGUUGCCAAGGGAACUAUGUGGACACAAUCAUCAAGUCACAAGGAGUUACAGCAAGUUUUACUUUCACAAUAUGCUAAAAGCCCACCCCCCAAAUCCUCAAGACAUAAAUUAAACAAGCAACAAAAUGAACUCAUGAGAUGAACAUCUUUUAAAAACAGAGAGAAAAAGACUCCAAAGCUCUGUAAAACAAUACUUUCAAUGUCAUAUUUCUGUUAUUGUUAUUAUUUAUAAAGAAAUGGUGUCUUCAAAAAGUAAAUUACUUUUAAUUUAAAAAUGAACAAAGUUUUAGGACCUGGUGGCAUUUCUGCAGUAUAUUACAAGAUCUCUCAAUAAUUUUAAUUAAAUCGCUACCCCUGGUAAUGAAUGAAAUUCAACAACAGUCAGGGGCUUCACAUGAUGGAAAGAAGCUUUUAUUUCUGUGAUUUACAAGGAAGAAAAUGAUCCAAUUUAUCAAAGUGAUAGAGCUUAUUUUCUUAUUGAAUGUACAUCACAAACUUUUUACAACAAACUUGCAAAGAGAACAUGUGAUUUUCUUGCUGAAUUAAUACGUCCUGAAAAGAUUUGAUUUGUUCCAAAGAGAUACAUGAGAGACAAUAUCAUAUACAUUGUGAACGUUGUGAUAAUAUAAAUUAGAACAGGAGAAAUGGACCUUUGUUAAUGCAGAGAAAGCUUUUGAUUAUUUCGAAUGGUCUUCCAUACUUAAAUCUCUGAAGAAGAUAAUUUUUUAUAUGAAUACAGAGUAUUUAUAAAGAAUAAGAAGGUGUUAAUAUGUUGAUGAUUUCUUAAUCACAAAAAACUACCCCAAUGAAAGGAACAAAAGCUGUAUCCUGCCUUGUUCAUUAUUCAUAGUCGUAUUGCAAAGAAGAUAUACCAAGAAAUGAAUUUUCAGGAAUUAAAUGCUGCUCAGUAACAUAAACUAAAAUUAUAUGCUGUUGAUGGGAUACUUACACUUACUAAACUAAAGGACACUUUAGAAUUGAUGAUGUUUACCUAUAUCUUUUUUAAAAAAAGAAUUGAUGAUGGAAUAUAUAUAUCAGCAUGGUUUGACUCCAUGAUAUGAGAUAAAUAAAACUCAAAUGCAGACAUA